GUGGUUGUAGCUCAGUGGAUAGAGCGCCUGUUUCCUAAGCUGAAGGUCGUAGGUUCGACCCCUGCCUGGUACG
rfam:Nicotiana attenuata strain TT chromosome 7, whole genome shotgun sequence.